GCCUGGGUGGCUCAGUUGGUUAAGCAACUGACUUCUGCUCAGGAUGUGGUCUCACAGCUCAUGGGUUCGAGCCCCACAUCAGGCU
rnacentral:tRNA from 1 species